CGACGCCGCCCAUCGCCAGAUCAUGUUGAGUGUUGAGAACAAUACGGAAAAUAAAGGUUAUCUUCCUUAGAAACAAUUAUUGUACAUAGGACAUCGGGAUAUUUUUGUUCUGGGUCCGCCCUGCCAGCAGCUGCCUCUGGGACGGAGAGGUAGGCAAGUGGGAAGGUCGGGGACACCAAGGAGGCGGCCGAGCAGGGGCGCUAGACAAGGUUGGGCAGACAAGGACAUGGUAAAGAAGGUGG